rnacentral:rRNA from 1 species
UAAGGAAUAUUGGUCAAUGGACGCAAGUCUGAACCAGCCAUGCCGCGUGAAGGAUGAAGGUCCUCUGGAUUGUAAACUUCUUUUAUCUGGGACGAAAACGGGAUUUUUAUCUCAAUUGACGGUACCAGAGGAAUAAGCACCGGCUAACUCCGUGCCAGCAGCCGCGGUAAUACGGAGGGUGCGAGCGUUAUCCGGAUUUACUGGGUUUAAAGGGUGCGUAGGUGGGCUUAUAAGUCAGUGGUGAAAUCUCCGAGCUUAGCUUGGAAACUGCCGUUGAUACUAUAGGUCUUGAAUUAUCUGGAGGUAAGCGGAAUAUGUCAUGUAGCGGUGAAAUGCUUAGAUAUGACAUAGAACACCAAUUGCGAAGGCAGCUUACUACAUAUAAAUUGACGCUGAGGCACGAAAGCGUGGGGAUCAAACA